rnacentral:rRNA from 1 species
CGUAGGGUGCAAGCGUUAAUCGGAAUUACUGGGCGUAAAGCGUGCGCAGGCGGCUUUGCAAGACAGAUGUGAAAUCCCCGGGCUUAACCUGGGAACUGCAUUUGUGACUGCAUGGCUAGAGUGCGGCAGAGGGGGAUGGAAUUCCGCGUGUAGCAGUGAAAUGCGUAGAUAUGCGGAGGAACACCGAUGGCGAAGGCAAUCCCCCUGGGCCUGCACUGACGCUCAUGCACGAAAGCGUGGGGAGCAAACAGGAUUAGAUACCCUGGUAAGUCCACGCCCUAAACGAUGUCAACUGGUUGUUGGACGGCUUGCUGUUCAGUAACGAAGCUAACGCGUGAAGUUGACCGCCUGGGGAGUACGGCCGCAAGGUUG